UUCAACAACAACAUUAUUUUA
rnacentral:piRNA from 1 species